rnacentral:rRNA from 1 species
UACAGAGGGUGCAAACGUUGUUCGGAUUUACUGGGCGUAAAGCGCGUGUAGGCGGCUUGGCAAGUCGGAUGUGAAAGCCCACGGCUCAACCGUGGAAGGGCAUCCGAAACUGCUUCGCUCGAGUCUCGGAGAGGAAGGUGGAAUGCUUGGUGUAGAGGUGAAAUUCGUAGAUAUCAAGCAGAACACCUGCGGCGAAGGCGGCCUUCUGGACGAUGACUGACGCUGAGACACGAAAGCCAGGGGAGCGAACGGG